AAGCAACACAUGUUUACAGUUUGGGUGGGACACAUAUGUUCCCCCAGACACUGGCAUUUGAUGUUCCUAAGAACUGUGUCAGAUGGGAAUGUUAAUUUAUUUGAUUACAGUUCUGUAAAUUUAGUUCUGAAAAAACCCAGUGGUGCCAAAUGGGCUGACACAAAAAUAAGCUUAUGAAGCAACGUCGUACCCAGGGGAGUGUGGCGAAGUCCUUGGAUGUUGGCGGCCCCCUCCAAUCCGUAAUCCUGGCAAGGUAACCAGGUAGAUUCUGCACCGUUUAUCCAUCUCAUGUUAGUGGUCUUAGAAAUCAUAUUAUGUGAAGUCUCCAGGGUUCCUCGGAAUACCAUUGGGUCCACACAGGGUCAAGAUGCUGGUGGGAUCCUCUUACCUUUGAUUUGAAAAUAUUUGUCCCUCCCAGAAAGACUUCUAGUUGAUAAAAAAGAAGAAAAAAAACCUCUACAGUUGAAAACAGUUUGAGAAACAUGACAUAGGACGAUUUCUGAAAUGUUCUUUACCUCUUUAAGGCAAGGGUGUAUGAUUAGCUGAACCCAUGCCCUGGAGCAGUAAUAUGGGCUGGGCCAAGUUGUAACUUCCACAGGGUGUGAGACAGGUCUGAUCUUGGUGCAACAGAAGUUGUGUGCUUCGCUUGCAAGGCGACCUACAGAAAAAAAUGACCACAGAAAAAUGACCUACAGAAAAAAAUGACCACCAAAAGAUGUGGCCUCCCUGGGAAGCUGGUUCAAAUUGUUUAAGGUUUGACAUGUUUCUGAACAAUAGGAGAUGUGGCUUUAAGCUGGACUCCAAGUAGGCAGUGAGUCUUUCUGCCACUCAAAUUUGUUACUCAAAUUAUCUAAAUUGGCUCCUUUAAUCAUCUCUGAGUUUCAGAGAGGUUAAUUACUUGCUUCAGGAAACAUGCUGGUAAACAGUUCAGAGGGACUUGGAACCAGGGUUCUCUGACUCCAAAGCUCCCGCCCCACAGUGUGGUCCACAUUGAAGAUGUCUGCUUCCUCCUUCAAGGUCAUUAUCACUCCCUAGUCCACUUCCUGUUGCUGCUCAGUGUCGUCUUUAGGAUGGAGUCCUCCCUGGCUGAUUUCCAGGGAGGCUCUGCUUUCUUCCGGAGAGGUCUGCUGCCAGCCCACACAGCUGAGUGCACACUUCUCCCUCUGCAUCUGUUUCCUCUGUGGUCUUGUCCUCUAUGCAGGGUCACUGGUGAGGUAGGAGAGGUGUUGAAGGCUCCUCAGGUGGGGAGAGGUACUCCCUCCUGGAGCCUGGAGUCAAGCCACAUCUCCUGUGGUGCAGAAAUGCUCGUCAAACCUUGAACAGCACGAACCAGCUUCCUGGGGACGUGGCAUCUUGAGGACCUUGUUUCAUGGAAGUAUCUCCAGAGCCUCAUAUUCUGUAGUGACAUCAAGAAUUUCCUUAGGAAAUAUUUCCUUGAAUGUGGCUCUGCGCAGCUCACCAUCAAACAUCUAAGCCCCCACAUAAACAGAAAAUUAAGUGAAUAAUAGGCCCAAAACUCUGAAGGCUAUAGAAACACUGGAUUACAGAGUUUAGAGCGCAUAUAGUCUAACUUUCCCCCUGGAUCACGUCAGUUCAUCCUAUAACAAAUGGUCACGACUUCUGGCCAUCUCCAGUGACUGGGAACCCACCGCCUGAUGGGGAGUGUAAAAAGAAUUUAAGUAAAUGAUAACACAUUUUCUGGGUUAAUUCUUAAUAUAGUCACUAAAAUAUUGAGAAUUUUGAAUGGCAUGAGAAGCUUAAGAUACAACUAGGUAAAAACAAAGAAAGCUGCAUAUGUAAU
rnacentral:lncRNA from 1 species